rnacentral:lncRNA from 1 species
CACUGUGGAACUGAAACCAUUUCAAGAAGCAGCGCUCAGCCGCGCUGGUCUCCAGUGCCUGUGGGCUCUGCUGUCCCAUGCUUUUGAUAACGCUCGCAGGCCCUGGUGUCAGGCCGGGCCCUCCGGGAGACGCAGGCAGGAGGAUCCCAGGUUGAACCCGGCUGGAGCCUCCUCAGCGACCUGGCGAGACCGGCUCAAAAUAACAAAUAAAAAGGGCUGGCUGUGUAGAUCACUGUGAAGCCCCUGAGUUCAGCCCCGGUACCGGCCUCCCCUCAGACUUUUUUUUGUUUCCCUCUUGGUUUGGAUCCACUAAAUUCAUUUCACCUAUGAGUGGAUUCAACCUUCAGCUUCACAGAAGAGUUUGUUCACGUAAGACAUUUAGAACAGAGCCACUUCUGCUAUGCUGUCCGUUUUUACAUCCACGUAAUUUCUGCAGAUAGCUUUCAGGAACGCUGCCGUGUGAAUUCCCCUGGGCUGGCCAGCCGGAUUCUUGCAGUGUUGAAGUUUUAUUGUAUUUUCUAUACCAUCCUCUCUCUGGAUGGAGAUGAAAACUAUAUACAAGUACAUAUAUGUGAGUAUGUGAUUAUAAUUACAUAGUUUAUUUUAGAGACAUUUGAGGUAAGUUGUAAGCAUUUAAUACCUCUUCCAGUUACUUCAAUGUGCAUUUCCUAAAACCAGGGACAUUCUCGUCCAUAAUUACGAUGCAGUGACCCUAAACAAGAAGUGAACUUUGGGACAGUGCUCUUUUAUACUCUAGUGCCUGUUUAAUUUUUGACAAUCAUCUUAAUGGCUUCUGUUACAGCAAAACAGCGACAGAAACAAUAACUUUUUCCUUCAGUUCGAGAUCACACCUUGCAUUUGAUCGUCCUUUUCUUCUUCAAUUUGGAAGACAUUCUCAGGUUCUGUGGGCAGGAACUUGGGAGCAGCGCAGCAAGGCCUGGGGUCCCUCGAAGACUGCAGUCAAGACCCUGCGGCCCCCCCGAGGGGCUGCCUAGGACUGCAGGGUGGCAGGGAGGAUGGCUCACGGAGGUGCUGGUGGACCAGAUGCCUCAUUUCUCCACCAAACAAGCGUGGCUGCUGGGCUGCAGGAGUGUCGAGUGUUCUCAGGACCGGCAGGCAGCUGGCUUCUCCCAGAUCAUGAAGGGCAUAAGCCCGGAUGUAUUUCAUGAUGCUAUGUCCUUAAUGGGGGGGCGCAUGUCAUCUACUGGCCCUGUUACUAGCAGUGAUCACUCUGAUCACUUAAGGUGGCAGUAACUUUGACCCUUCAAUUAAGCUGGUGUCUGCCAGGUUUGUCGAGUGUAAAGUUACUCUUCUUCCCUUUAAGUAAUAAGGAUUUUGUGGGUAUAUACUGUAAAAUUAUGUAAAUAACCUCAUCUUUAUGUCAGCAUUUCACCUUCUAAUUUUAGCAUACAUGAAUAAUUCUUGUCUGAAACAGUUAUCACUGUUAUGAUCGCCAGAUGAAUUCUUUCUAAUUCAAUCAUUACUUCUGUAUUCAUGAGCUGGCAUCUAUUAUAAAUAAAAGCUUUCUCUUCUCCCCUGUAUUUCGUUUAUGUGUGUUACUAUCAUGUG